UCUCCUUCGAUUGUCCAUGGCCUCUAUUAGAUCGCGCCUUUUAUGUUCUUUUUUUGAAUAUAAAUCAUCAUUCUUUGUGUGUAAAAUAUAAUCAAAGCAUGUCAAAAAGGCUUUCUUUUUUCAGAGGAUUUGCAUGAAGACUAAUUAAUUCAACUAUUGAUUUGACAGUGUUUAUAUGAUUGCAAAUUAUUUUUGCUAGAAUUUUUGGUUUAUUGGUAUAGGAAAUCUCGAUUCAAUGGGAUCAAGCUCUGAUGCAUGUGUUUUCUGAUUGAGUAGUUUUCUUUUUGCUGAAACCUUCUGUGUAUUUUCUGAUAAUUUUGGACAGAUGAGAAAUUGUUUUCCUCUUCAGACAUAUCUGGUAGCACAGUUAGAGACUUGUUUUCAUUUGCUAUGUAUGAAAGGGCAACCUAUAAUUUUAGGAAGAAACGAAAAUAAUUAAAACCAUCAGCACAUAAUUUUAGUCAUGUAAAAUUGAUCCAGGUCCGGGGGGUCGCUGUUCUUGUUGUAGAUGAAAUGCAACUUGCUCAGCAGCUGUGCUUGGGCUAUCAAAAUUAGACUUUUGAUAUGUCAGCUUUCGUUAGAUGAAAUCCAUCUUAAAUUUUGAUGUGCAGGCAUCCAUUUCGAUUGUUCUCCUUGCCAAUUUUCUUUAAAUUUCAACCAAUCGAUAGCUUCACGCUCGCACAUGCAUACGUGCUUCAUUGCCGGAGAUCUUAGGAGGGAUUUAUGUGGAUAUUGUUUGAAGUUUUUGAUAUUAAAAACUCCUCUGACUGACUUAGAGAUUACUGGACCAUUUGAUUGGCUGAGGAAGACCUUUUUGGAGAAGCCGGAGCCUGAAGACAAGUGAAAAUGGAAUUGAGCAUUCUGGUAAAACUCUGUUUGAUGAGACUGAUGACCAUAUGGGAAAUGUUGUUUUGAUGAGACUACAAUGGACAGAGUUUAUGCGAAUAAUAAUCGUGUAGUUUUCGUACUUGAUUUAAUUGUUAAUUACAUGCAAACCCUUUCUUUGCACUAAUUCCUGGUUCUUGUUUAUGCCAUUCCUGCAAUUUUACUC